rnacentral:rRNA from 1 species
UACGGAGGGUGCAAGCGUUAUCCGGAUUCACUGGGUUUAAAGGGUGCGUAGGCGGGUAGGUAAGUCAGUGGUGAAAUCUUCGAGCUUAACUCGGAAACUGCCUUUGAUACUAUCUAUCUUGAAUAUUGUGGAGGUAAGCGGAAUAUGUCAUGUAGCGGUGAAAUGCUUAGAUAUGACAUAGAACACCUAAUUGCGAAGGCAGCUUACUACGCAUAUAUUGACGCUGAGGCACGAAAGGCGUGGGGAUCAAACAGG